rnacentral:rRNA from 1 species
AACGAACGCUGGCGGCAUGCCUAAUACAUGCAAGUCGAACGAGAUCUUCGGAUCUAGUGGCGCACGGGUGCGUAACGCGUGGGAAUCUGCCCUUGGGUUCGGAAUAACGUCUGGAAACGGACGCUAAUACCGGAUGAUGACGAAAGUCCAAAGAUUUAUCGCCCAGGGAUGAGCCCGCGUAGGAUUAGCUUGUUGGUGAGGUAAAGGCUCACCAAGGCGACGAUCCCUAGCUGGUCUGAGAGGAUGAUCAGCCACACUGGGACUGAGGCACGGCCCAGACUCCUACGGGAGGCAGCAGUAGGGAAUAUUGGACAAUGGGGGCAACCCUGAUCCAGCAAUGCCGCGUGAGUGAUGAAGGCCUUAGGGUUGUAAAGCUCUUUUACCCGGGAUGAUAAUGACAGUACCGGGAGAAUAAGCCCCGGCUAACUCCGUGCCAGCAGCCGCUGUAA